UCGGGAAUUUUGGGCAAUGGGGGAAACCCUGACCCAGCAACGCCGCGUGAAGGAUGAAGUAUUUCGGUAUGUAAACUUCGAAAGAAUAGGAAGAAUAAAUGACGGUACUAUUUAUAAGGUCCGGCUAACUACGUGCCAGCAGCCGCGGUAAUACGUAGGGACCAAGCGUUGUUCGGAUUUACUGGGCGUAAAGGGCGCGUAGGCGGCAUGACAAGUCACUUGUGAAAUCUCUGGGCUUAACCCAGAACGGCCAAGUGAUACUGUCGCGCUAGAGUGCAGAAGGGGCAAUCGGAAUUCUUGGUGUAGCGGUGAAAUGCGUAGAUAUCAAGAGGAACACCUGAGGUGAAGACGGGUUGCUGGGCUGACACUGACGCUGAGGCGCGAAAGCCAUGGGGAGCAAACGGGAUUAGAUACCCUAGUAGUCCCUGAGCGGGCUGGCAAGGCGCAU
rnacentral:rRNA from 1 species